rnacentral:rRNA from 1 species
GACGAACGCUGGCAGCGUGCUUAACACAUGCAAGUCGAGCGAGGUCCAUCCGGUGGCAACACCGGAGAAGACCUAGCGGCGAACGGGUGAGUAACACGUGAGCAACCUGCCCCGAAGACCGGGAUAACAUCGGGAAACCGGUGCUAAUACCGGAUGCCCUCAUCGGACCGCAUGAUCUGAUGAGGAAAUGGAUUCCGCUUCGGGAGGGGCUCGCGGGGUAUCAGCUUGUUGGUGGGGUAACGGCCUACCAAGGCGACGACGGAUAGCUGGUCUGAGAGGACGAGCAGCCACACGGGGACUGAGACACGGCCCAGGCUCCUACGGGAGGCAGCAGUGGGGAAUCUUGCCCAAUGGGCGAAAGCCUGAGGCAGCAACGCCGCGUGCGGGAUGAAGGCCCUUGGGUUGUAAACCGCUUUCAGCAGGGACGAGGAUGACGGUACCUGCAGAAGAAGCCCCGGCCAACUACGUGCCAGCAGCCGCCGUAACAC